CAGAGCGUUUCUUUGAAAAGGCAGAAAGCGGGAAGCUCCUUUUGAGCCAGUGUGUACAUUAAGUAAUGGGGUUUCAAAGGGGUCUGCCCACCCUGGUGUAUCUGAGCAGACACGUCCUGGUCCUGAAAGUGGUGAGAGGAGGUGACCACCCCAUCCUCUCCCCAGGAGGGGUGAGCUCAUUCCAGUGGGUCCAGUCCUCCCUGCAGACCGCCCUCCAGGCUGGGCGGAUGCAGUUGCUACAGGAGCCCCAUGGUCCCGGUGAGGGGCUGUCUCAGCAACUGUGGUGCUGAAGAAGAGCGUCCUUACUUGGUUUCUAGAAGCUGGCCUGGAUGGCACCCUGAUGGCCUCUGUGCAACCUCCUCAAUUGCUGCCCACCCCCCGCCCAGCAGCAUCACCCUCCCCCAGCCCUGUGGCUCCCAGGCCGUCAUGAAGCAGACCCCUUUCAGAGCUGCCCCCCAGGAGAAUGGAGGUUGGAGCUGUGGUGAUGGGGACAGAGAACCCUGGCUGAGGAGCCUGAUGUGACCGUGAGACGAGACGGCCGCAGCACACAGUGUGCCCGGCUUAGGGUUCCGCUGGCUGUUUCCAGUCUUGCCUCCUUGCCUCAGACGUGACCCGCCUGCCCCUCAGAUGGGGCGCAGCAGGCACCGGGCUCAGGACUUCCUGAACUAACGGUGGGUUCAGAGAGGCUGGGGUCCCUCCUCAGCCCAUCAAGGGUCUCCUCUGAGGGAGUCAGGUGCCUGCUCACCACGCCUGCUGGAGGCCCCACACCCCCACCCCAGAAGCCACGGACCCCGCCGCCCCCACGGCUGCCCCACCAGGCUCGACAAAGCAAAUGGCUUGUGAAGCAUGAGAAGGCGUCAGGGAGGCAGAGGAAGCCAGAAGCGGGGAAACACACACUGAAAGGGGGCCUUGGCCUUACCAAAAAAAUCAUCGCGCACUAUGGGCGCCGUCCCAGUCCCACGGGAGAUGGGCGACCAGGGAGGGAGGAAGGAGAGGGAGAGAGGAGGGGAGAGAAAAGAAGCGCGUUAAGCCCGUGUGAUGAGCAGGCGGGGGGACUCCAGGGCUACUUCUCGCUGGGUUAGGGGUGGACACAGGAGUGGGACGGGAGGGGCAGGAGAUGGGAUGGGGCCAGCUACUCCUUCCAGAAAGUUUACCCUUGGGGCGGCACAGAGGAUCAGGAGGCCACAAGAGCACCUGGGUGGUGAGGUGGAGGGUCAGGGCAACACGAUGGACAUCUUACACUAAAAUCCUGGGGUGGGAGUAGGGGGUUAAGGACAGAGGUCUCUGCAAAUGAGGGAGCGUUGUGCCCAGGCCCCAGGUCCUUCAAGUGCAGUGGAGAGGUAGCACGGGGAUGGUCAGGGCUUCAGAGCCUCUGCUGAAAGCAGGAAAACAGGAGCUUGGCCCACGUGCCCCAUGGGGUGAGGACCCCUGACUUCUGGGGUGCACCCAACAGAGGGGAGACACCACAGAACUGGGCCUGUACUUUGUGUCCAGUUAACUGGCCUCUGCCUCUGUCAGCUCUGUAGAACCUUAAGAAAUGGCCUUCAAGGAGAGACCGGGGUCAAGGGCACAGCAGCUCUCCCUCAGUUGUCAAGGUCACUGUCAGUGGGCUCGUGGAGCAAACCAAAAUAAGCUUCCAAGCAGCAGUAGGCUGGUGAGCAAAAGCACGUGUGCCUUAGUGGCCUGGACUGGGAUGGGAGGGGACAGGCUGCACAGCUGGCGGUGACUGGGCAGCAGCAGGGGGUGUCCCAGGGUGCCACCCCCUCCACCUGGAUGCCACCAUGGGGAAGAGGAGCCGCAACCAGAUAGCAGAGAUACACACCUGAGAACUCCCCUGCGGCCGUGUCCAGCGAAGCACAGAGACAGGGGGAAGGAAGUGACAAAGGUCAAUUGGUGACUGAAACCAACAGAAUAAACUCUUAUUAAAGAAAAAGCAACGAUUGGCCAUUUUCAGGUUGAAGAGCCCAGAGGAAUACGAGCAGACGUUCCCAGGCCCGUGGGUGCCAGAUGCUGUCCCAGGCAGGAACGCUGAAGGAAAGGGGGGGCCAGAAUGGCAUGUUCCUCAGUCCCGGGGGGCCUGGGGCAGGUGCAGGGAUCUAAAGCCUGCUUGCCCCUCUACUCCCGCCAACCCCCCAUCAGGAGGCCUGGCCCUGUGCAGAGCUAACGUGUGUGGGUGCGGUGUGGUGGGUGCUGGGCAUCCAGCCUCACAGGCACCCCCAGAGUGAGUGAGCCUCUGCAGGGGGUGGGGUGGGGGAGGGUGGCCAGCCCAGGUCUUAGGGGAAGGGCAAGGCCUUAGGUCAAGGGUGACCAGAGACAACGGCCCUACUGUGCAGGAAGGAACUCACUGACUCGGGCUGCGGGGGGUGAGGGGGGCGGAGACGGGGGCCCCCCCUGCUUGUGCCAAACUGCUCUCCGCUACCCAGUUGAAGACUUGAUGAAAUGAUACUGUUCUAUUUGGUUCAUUUCACACAGAAAGAAAUGGUAUAAAAAGUCACUUGAGGGACUUUCCUGGUGGCACAGUGGUUAAGAAUCCGCCUACCAAUGCAGGGCAAUGCAGGGGACGUGGGUUUGAGCCCUGGUCCGGGAAGAUCCUAUGUGCCACGGAGCAACCAAGCCCACGCGCCACAACUACUGAGCCUGUGCUCUAGAGCCUGUGCUCCACAACUACUGAGUCGGUGGGCCCUAGAGCCCAUGCUCUGAAACAAGAGAAGCCAUGGCCAUGAGAAGCCCAUGCACCGCAACAAAGAGUAGCCCCUGCUCACCACAACUAGAGAAAGCUGUGCACAUCAACGAAGACCCAGCCCAGCAAAAAAAAAAAAAAGUCACUUGACUUAAAUGACAAACUACAGAAUCUCUGGUAGGAAUUCAAAUGAUAAAGAAGUGCUGCAGUUCAAAACUGGACGUAUCCUCCCUCAUCUCUACUUCCCAGGCAGCCACUGUUCAUGUUUGAUGUUCUCCUUCUCAGACCUCUUUCUAGGCAGACAUCAGUUUUCAGAAAACAAAACUGCGACCACUUUCCAACCUUUUGGGCAACUUGCUGUGCGGCACCUAACACAGUAUCCUGAGACCCCUUCCAUUUCAAGGAUCCACGAUUGCCUUGAAAGCUUCGACAUAUUUCCAUAUGGAGACGUUUCCCAGGGCACCGGCUCCAUGGACAGGCAUUUCGGGCCUGUACGGUUGUGUGUGGGCACCUUGGCCACACUUGAGGAGCAGUGGUUCCGCUCUCUCUGGGUCCAGCAUGGCUGCAUCCUGCCAGCCGGCCUCCACCGGCUGCCCCAGUCACCUCCUAUCAACAGGGUGGCCAGUACCCACUUCAUUUUUGUCAACUGAGGAAAAAGAGUUAUCUCUGUACCCUCUUACUUCUCAUUUCUGUGUUACUGCUGAAGUUGAGCAUCUUUUCAGGUUUGUGGGUCUCUUCUGUGAAUGUCCUAUUUUAUCCUCUACUCAUUUCCUAUUUACGUCAAUUCUUUUAAUGUUAAUGAUGGAGACUAUAUACAUACAUAUCGACGUAUAUAUAUUUUCUUUGGCUUUGGCGAUAAACAGAGACCCAGAUUAUGAAAAUACUCUCCAAUACUCUCUUCUGGUUCUAUUAUCCUUGUAUUUUUAUGUUUAGAUCUCUAAUCCACCUAGAAAUUAUUUUUGUAUAUGGUAUGAGGUUGGAUUAGAUUUCAUUUUUUUUCCGAGUGGCCAGUCAACAAAUCAGUACCUAAGGAAUAAUCCAUAACCUGGGUGUCUUCAGGACCUGGGGACAGGGACCAGGCCUCCUGUCACCGACACUUCCUCCAGCUGAGCCAGACUCUGGGGACUCGAGCAGACCCCCACUCAUCCGCCCACCGUGCUGGACGAAGCACCGGCGCCUCACUCUGGGGCUCCGUCCAUAGAUCACAGGAGUCCUCGACCCUCCUCAGCUCCUCAGGGCUGCCUGACGUGCCUGUGCCCCUCGCGAGGAAGGCCCCAGAGAGGCACCCAAAGGCCCAUCACUCCCAACAGUGGGGCCUCGUUCCAACCAGCACUAAGUGGUGCCUGAGAGGGCCCCCUGCCCACCAAGCAUUGCAGAGCGAGUGCCAGGGCACUCAGGGUCCUCACCACCAGGUGAGAAGAUGAUUCUCCCUUCAGCCCCUCAGAACAGGCCCAUCAGGUGCACAAGUUAGAACGUCUCACGGGAAGAUCACAUCAGGCACUCCUGUUCGAGGGCACUGGCCCCAGGAGGUGCAUCAGACAUCGUUUCCCGCCCAGAAACCCUGCUAUAUCAGAUUCCACCUCUACCUACUGAUUCAGUCCGUGUGGCUCCAGGUAAAACUCACUGGUGUGCGGUUUCUAGUUCUCUGCUUUUUUCUCCCGUCACUCUUUAUGGAGACUCUGACGUCUGGAACAGUGCCACCUGAACCACAGGAAGUGGCCACAUGCUAGAGCAUCUGCCGGUCCCAGGGGCACCAAGGUGGGAGGGAGGGGAUGGUCACAUGGAGAGAGUGGGCCAACCAGCAGCACUGUACCCGUGGGUGCUGCAGGGGAGGGGAGAGCUCUGCAGCCUGGGGCCACAGGGCAAGGCAGGAGAUCAUGGCCAAUGGAAUUGACUGACAGGCAGGCCACCCAGUGCCACCAGGUAGUGAGGAGGCCGGAGGACUCCGGUGAUCUCAUAGAACCACAGGAGGCAUCACAAGUGUAGCAGAAGCAUCAGUCACAACAGCCGAAAGUGAAAUGACCCACAUGUCCAUCAGUGGCUGAACAGAUACAUGAAGUGUGGUCUGUCCACACAUCAGAACAUUAUUCAGCCAUAAAAAGGAAUGAAACCCGGACUCAGCAUGGAUGAGCCUCAAAGGCAUGAUGAUAAAUGAAGGCAGCAGGAUGGAAAAGGCCACUGAUGUGAAAUGUCCAGAACAGGCAAGUCCGUAGAGAAAGGAAGUAGAACAGUGGUGCCCAGGUUAGGGGAGGCAGCGGGGAGUGACUGCUAGUAGGUACAGGUUUCGUUGGUGGGGGGGGGAUGUUCUAGAGUUCUGUGGCAAUGAUGGCACAAAUCUGAGCAUGCUAGAAGUCACUGAGCUGUACACUGAAAGUGGGUGGACUGCAUGGUGUGGAAAUUCCACCUCAAUAAAGCUGUUAAAAAAGCACAGCGGUGGUCGGAGGCAGGGUUGCCUCCCCUGGUGGGACCUGAGUUCAAGUCCUGAUGCUGUCACUUCGCAUCACCCUCUGUGACCUCGGUUUCUUCCUCUGUGAAAUGAGGACACUAGCAGUGUGAGGCAUUAAUGGUGGCCGUGCACAUACAACGCCGGUGUCACUCUUCUCAUAAAGACCGUGAUGAGUGUUGGAAUUUUGUCACAUGACAAUACUGAAGAAAGGUAUGGGAUGCGGGGGGGCCCUGCUUCACCCCUCAGACCUCCUCCACUGCUCUGGUCCGGGGUGGGAAUGCGAAGCUGGGACUCUGACCUGACACAGAAAUGCAAAAUGUCCUAUGUCUGUGUGUUUUCCUAGGGAGACGCCUUUUAUCUUCCUAUCAGGUUCUCAAAAGCUCAAGAGAGUGUGGUGCCCUGCUAUGUACGCUCUCCAGCAUACAAGGCCACACCCCUAGGCCCCUGCGCAGCCUCCAAGGUUGCCUGGGUGGAAAGGCACUCCCUCCAGUGACCACCCGUCACAGUCUGGAUCCCAAGUGCCUCUUCCCAGCCACGUCCGGCCUUGCUGGUGGGAGCACACGCAGGGGAGCAGCCUGCAGCCUGUCCCCAUGAGUCCACACCUGUCCAGGGGAUUCCCACGUCUAGAAAGAUCCACGCCCGCAGGUAGCUACGACAGUGGUAUUCACACAGCAAAAAUUAGAACCAAGACAGAACUGAUUAGGUAAUUUACAAUCACACAAAGAUAAGGAAGUUAAAACAUGUGAAGGAAUCUUAGAAGUUCAGGGAAAUGUUAACAUCAGCCACGAAGAAGAGGCCAUGCGUAAGCUGCCACACCCCCAUCCUGGGCACAUGUGCUGGAGUCCCAGCACCUGGGAGAGUGUCACUCAUCAUGGCAUGGGGGGCACUUUCGGUUUUUACUCCCUCCUUGGCAUUGUCUGAUAUUACUUUAAUAUUAUUAGCCUGUAUCCUUUUUCCAAAAAUUAAAAAAAAUGCCUAAAAGUUGAAUUUAUAUGGCAAUAUCUGAAAUAUGUAAAGAAGAGUAGAAGGAUGUCAAAAUAUUAAAAGUGAUUGUCCCUGAGUAGAUUUUUUUCUGAAUACUAACAGUUUUUGUAUAUUUUAAAAUAUAUGUUUUUACAAUGCUUAUGAGAAAAAUUCCAUUAAAAAUA